rnacentral:rRNA from 1 species
UACGUAGGGUGCAAGCGUUGUCCGGAAUUAUUGGGCGUAAAGAGCUCGUAGGCGGUGUGUCACGUCGGCCGUGAAAACCUGCAGCUUAACUGUGGGCGUGCGGUCGAUACGGGCAUCACUGGAGUUCGGCAGGGGAGACUGGAAUUCCUGGUGUAGCGGUGAAAUGCGCAGAUAUCAGGAGGAACACCGGUGGCGAAGGCAGCUCGCUGGGACGGUACUGACGCUGAGGCGCGGAAGCGUGGGGAGCAAACAGG